rnacentral:rRNA from 1 species
AUUGAACGCUGGCGGCAGGCCUAACACAUGCAAGUCGAGCGGAGCGGCGGAGGGGUGCGUGAUGCCUAUGACUCGGCCUGGUAGUGGGGGCUACCGUCAGGUAACGGGACCUAUUGCCGCAUACUAUCAGAUGAGCCUAGGGCGGCUUAGCUAGUUGGUGGGGUAAGGGCAUACCAAGGCGACGCGCCGGAACUGGUCCGAGAGGAUGAUCAGCCACACUGGAACUGAGACACGGUCAAGACUCCUACGGGAGGCAGCAGUGGGGAAUAUUGGACAAUGGGCGAAAGCCUGAGCCAGCCAUGCCGCGUGUGUGAAGAAGGUCUUCGGAUUGUAAAGCACUUUAAGUAGGGAGGCGUUACCAACAGAAUAAGCACCGGCUAACUACGUGCCAGCAGCCGCGGUAAUUC